UACGUAGGGGGCAAGCGUUGUCCGGAAUCAUUGGGCGUAAAGAGCGUGUAGGCGGUCCGGUCAGUCGGUUGUGAAAGUCAAGGGCUCAACCCUUGAAUGCCGGCCGAUACUGCCGGGCUAGAGUCCGGAAGAGGUGAGUGGAAUUCCUGGUGUAGCGGUGAAAUGCGCAGAUAUCAGGAGGAACACCGAUGGCGAAGGCAGCUCACUGGGACGGUACUGACGCUGAGACGCGAAGGCGUGGGGAGCAAACAGG
rnacentral:rRNA from 1 species